rnacentral:rRNA from 1 species
GACGAACGCUGGCGGCGUGCUUAACACAUGCAAGUCGAACGAAGUGGCGAACGGGUGAGUAACGCGGAAUCAACCUGCCCUUCAGAGGGGGACAACAGUUGGAAACGACUACUAAUACCGCAUCCUUAAGCAGGGGAUUGCGGGUGAGUCGCUAUUGGGAGGGGGAACGGCCCUACAAGGCGAUGAUCAGUGGCAGGUGUUGGGGGGUGGACGUGCAAAUAGGGACUGGAACACGGCCCAUAAUCCUGCGGUGGGCAGGAAUGGGGGAUGUUCCGCAAUGGACGGAAGGCUGACGGAGCAACGCCGGGGGAGGGAUGACGGCCUUCGGGUUGUAAAGCUCUGUUAAUCGGGGCGCGGUACCGGAAUAGAAAGCCACGGCUAACUACGUGCCAGCAGCCGCGGUAAUUC